ACACCGUUGGUGAAGUGGUUAUCAUGCUUGCCUUCCAUAGACGUCCGAUUUGUUUAGUGUAGCAAGCGGCUCGGGUUCGAUUCCCGAACGGUGUA